AGCAGUGAUGCUAACCCAGCAGCUAAUUACACCUGGUUCAAGGAGGAUGAAGACUCACCAACAGCUUCAGGACAGAUUUUUACCAUAAACAACACAAGUCCUGAACACAGUGGGAUUUAUCUUUGUAUCGCCCAAAGCACAAGAGGACGUCAUAACUCCACUGUACAUCUGACUGUUUUGUCAGGGAACUCAACAUUCAUAAUACAUAUCAUCAAGUGGACUCUGCUGCUCUUGAUGUUGAUUUCUCUGUUUCUCCUGACUCUGUGGACGAGAAAGAAGAAAACUCUGAGCUCCACCA